CUUUGCUUCAUCCUUUUUACAUUUCAGUAUGUGGAUGAAAGCAAAUAUGUACUGAUGUACCUAAAUGGAUUUACAAAAAUAUCUUUGAAAUGUUUUGUCAUACAGAUAUGGCAUCUAGUAUAAUUUUUUCCAACUUGAUUGUUGCAUUAUCAUAUAAUGAGAUUAGGUGCACAGCUUGCAGUCAGUUUAUUGUUUUUGCUAAAGAUCAUUGCUAGUAGGCCGACAAAAGACAGGUCUAAAAUGAAGCCUAAGAAAACAUGCUUAAGAUGAUAUUUUAAGAUUUUCUAAACAUUGGAUCGUUGCGGAAGGUUGUGAUUGGCACGGCAAGUGUUCUAAAAUGAAGCCAAAGAAAAUGGGGGAGAAAAUAAGGUUGUGACAAAAAUUGAUUGGCAUCGGAAAGGAGACUAUUUCACUACUGUCGUUCCUAGUGAUAUCCUAAUUAUGAAUUUUAGUUGUACUUAUUUUUAGUCAUUCCUAGUGCCUAUUUUAUUCCUAGUCACCUUAUUUCAAUGACAAGAACAAGGGUUCUCAUGGCCAAUAUGUGUCUAUUAAUGGGAUUUUCAAUGUCUUGCUUACCACGCUAAUCCUACUUCUGAUUGGAUUUGCAGCUUCAAGAUAUCAAACUCUACACCUUCUAUAUGGAGCUAGAUUUGCAAAAGCCAUAUCCAACUCGAGGAAGUGACUUAUUGACAUGGGAGAGAACUUAUUGGUAACCAAGGACUUUGUGAAGAUAGCAAAUAUUGGCCUUGCUCGUGAAGUUCAUUCGAAGCCACCAUUCAUAGAAUAGGUUUCAACACGCUG